AUAACCUUUAAUUUGAUUCAGAGAAAUCAAUAAGGAAGUUAUAUAAUACCAAUGAUCUAGGAUUAUUAUGCCUUCCUUUAUAUUAAGGAAGCUUUUUUAU
rnacentral:misc_RNA from 1 species